CCUAGGGAGAGUUAUAGCAAACGAAAGUAGCCACGGCGAAAUCGGACUCGCUGAACUAGGAA
rnacentral:sRNA from 12 species